AGUUUUGCUCAGUGGCAGUAUCGUAGCCAAUGAGGUUUAUCCGAGGCGCGAUUAUUGCUAAUUAAAAAUAUAUACAAGAAUGAAUUGUAAACUCUAAAGAGUACCCGAGUCAUUAUGACACUUUUAACACAAGUUCACUU